CCUACGGGCGGCACCAGUGGGGAAUAUUGGACAAUGGGCGCAAGCCUGAUCCAGCAAUGCCGCGUGUGUGAAGAAGGCCUUUGGGUUGUAAAGCACUUUUAUCAGGAACGAAAUACCACGGGUUAAUACCCUAUGGGGCUGACGGUACCUGAGGAAUAAGCACCGGCUAACUUCGUGCCAGCAGCCGCGGUAAUACGAAGGGUGCAAGCGUUAAUCGGAAUUACUGGGCGUAAAGCGUGCGUAGGCGGUUUGUUAAGUCUGCUGUGAAAGCCCUGGGCUCAACCUGGGAAUGGCAGUGGAAACUGGCGAGCUAGAGUGUGAUAGAGGAUGGUGGAAUUCCCGGUGUAGCGGUGAAAUGCGUAGAGAUCGGGAGGAACAUCAGUGGCGAAGGCGGCCAUCUGAAUCGACACUGACGCUGAGGCACGAAAGCGUGGGGAGCAAACAGGAUUAGAUACCCUGGUAGUC
rnacentral:rRNA from 1 species